AGAUUAAGCCAUGCAUGUCUAAGUAUAAACACCUUUAUACAGUGAAACUGCGAAUGGCUCAUUAAAUCAGUUAUAGUUUAUUUGAUAGUACCUCACUACAUGGAUAACCGCAGUAAUUCUAGAGCUAAUACAUGCGAAAAGACCCGACUUCUGGAAGGGUUGUAUUUAUUAGAUAAAAAACCCAACCCGGGCAACCGGUUCUUUGGUGAUUCAUGAUAACUUUUCGAAUCGCAU
rnacentral:rRNA from 1 species